rnacentral:rRNA from 1 species
AGUAACGGCGAGUGAAGCGGCAAGAGCUCAAAUUUGAAAUCUGGCUCCUUUGGGGUCCGAGUUGUAAUUUGCAGAGGGCGCUUUGGAGUCGGCCGCGGUCUAAGGUCCUUGGAAAGGGCAGCAGAC